UUCCACGUAUUUGUGUAUUUUCCAGUUUUCAUUUUGUUAUUGAUUUCUAGUUUCAUUCCAUUGUAAUCAGAAAAGAUAUUUUGUAUGUGGCUUCACAGAAACUAGGUACAAAAAGUUUUUGCUAAGAUCUGUCACAAAUUAUUGUUAUCUAAUAGAAAUGCAAGGAAUUUUGUCCUAUAGAGAUGCAAAUGAUUUAUUUUUAUGGGAAAAGAAACUAGAACAUUAAGCAAUUUGUACUGAAUUUUGUAAUCUUACUCCAGCAUUCUUUCUGUGACUAUACAUACUUCUGUAUCUCCCAUAAUCCUUUGAACCAGCUCUCUCAGCUUGCUCAUUCCCUCAAUCAUGAGUUAAAUAGGUCUUUGACAUGUGUUUAGUCUAAUAAACAAACAAAUAACUGAGUCUAACAGAAAAAUUGGGACAUCAUUGGUUUAAAUAAAAAUGUUUAUCAAGGACAGGAGUAGCUUGCCCAUAUUUGGUGAAGGGGAAGAAUCUGAAGAGAUAAAGAUGCUAAAAAUGGGCAAAAUGGGACCUCCUGCACAGGCAGAGGACUUAGCCUUGGAAUUCAGAGAGUCACCCGUUUCCUAAGCCUGGAGAGAAGGAGAAAGUGGGUGACUAAAGAGAAUUGAGUGACAAUGACAAAUAAACUGCAGUUUUUGAGGCUACUGAUGUUAUUCCACAUCUCAUCAUGCCUUCUUUUCAGAACCCUGGGGAUUGGCAACUAUGACAAAAAUAAUGGCACUGGUCAGAAGCCAGGUUAAACCUUUAGUACUGUGUGGUCAUAACUCCAUCCAGCCUGUGCUCCUGGUACGUGUAAGCAUGUCACACUCCAUGGCCUUCUGCCAAUAGGAAAGACAUAGCUAAGCCAUUGUAGGGUAAAAGAUGUCAACAAGUAACACAGGAUUUUCCAAGCUCAGUAGUAGAUGUUCAAAUGCAUUUGCUAUUGAUAAUACAGUAGACUCUGGUUUAUCUCAAAUAGAAAACAAGAUUUAAAAAAAAAAAAAAGACUAGUCUUUGCAAGCUUAUCUAAAAGAAAACAUUUCUACAUGUGUAGUAAGGAUUUUAACCUUGCUCAAAAGGAGAUGUGACCUUUGCCCUCAGCCCGUGAUGGGUAAUCCCUAAACCCUUGGAAUGUCCCCCCAUAAGUGUCUUUGUUUACCUGGGGGUCUUGACCAAGCAGAAUGUCUAACAAUGUGGUUGUUGGUGGGGGCUUUUGAGUCACACAGUAUCAGCUCAAUGUCUAGAAGGUCUGGAGACUGAAGCUCCACAUGGGCAAUUGAAGAUGGAGACCCAGUAAAGACCCUGGACACCAAGACUUAGGGAUGGAGGAGACCUACCAGCUUUUAACAUCUUAUGGCCAUGAAGUAACACACAUCCUUUUUAGAUCUGGUCACAUGAACUCAACCGACAGCAAAGAAAAAUGUAUGGGAGCACCUGAGUAUGCCCUGAGCACUGCGUCUGCCAAGGUCAACCGUCUGCACAUUGCUGAGACUGUGGACCCACUGCUCCACCUGGAGCCCCUCCUCCUGUUGUCACUUGGGCAAGCUCCGAUUUGUCCUUCAACUCAGUUCAGGUGUUCAGUCCUCCAGACCACUGCACUGCCGCUCACAGGAGACCACAAGCACUCCUCCUCCGGGAUGCGCAGCAUGCACCUGCGUUUCAGGAAUUACCCUGUGGAGCUGUCUCCUCUCCCUGCUUGACCACGAAGUCCCUGAGGCAGGAACCAGACACUUUCACUCAGCAGAUACAGACUGAACCCUGGCACUGGUAUAGGAACAGAUGUUACAAUGGGAACAAAACCUGCCCUCAAGAAGGACACAGAGAACAAACAAGUAGCCAAGUCGAUAGGAUAAUUUCUGCUAUGGAAGAAAAUAUAAACUGGAAGGAAGAUUUCUUUGCAAAGGGGACGUUUGAGAAGAAACUGAAGCUGCACAAAUAUUUUGAGGAAAUGUGCCCCAGGCAGAGAUGACAGGAGUGAAAAGCCUGAGGAAGAAAAGGCCACAGAUGGCUGAGGACGGGCGAGGACGGGCCAGGAAGGUCCAGGAGGGCAGCUCUGAUGGGCUGCCUGCUCCCCACCAGCCUGUGAUUCAUUGAGAGCGGGGACCAAGCCCGGUGACCCCACGCAGUCAUUCUCCCUGGGCCUCACUGAGGAGUUCUUCACGCCCAACCCUGCAGCUACGCCAGCAGUGCAGUGUCAAGCGCCCUCAUAAGUCAUGCUAGAUUUCGAAAUAUACUAAGUCCCUUUUCACUGGAAAGUUAAAAGCAGAAAGGAAGGAGCAAGAAGGAGGACAGCAAAAGAGGGGAAAUGUUAUGAAAGUUGUCGAAUUACAGAGUUUUUAAAGAGCUAUAAUUUUCUGCCAAUUAAAUUAAAUUCUGCAAAAUAAAAUGCAUCCAGGUACAGCUAGGUAUGUGGUUAAUGACCAUUACCAAGAUUUCAUAAUUAGACUGCUUUAUGCUCUGAUAUGCUAGAAAAACAGAAAACCUUCCAUGUGUGCACAUUUGUAGCUUAAACAGCAACUUGAAGCUGUGUGGCAAAGAUCUUCAAUUCAUUAGGCUCACCUUUCUAAAAGGUCUUGCAAUUUGAUAACUUUUUCCUUUUGUAUGUUUAAGAUUCUGAAAAUGCAGAGGAAGAAGUUGUUUCAACAGUUCUAGCCGGUAUGACUAUGUUAACCAUUUCUCUCUCUGAUUUUGGAGUCGGAAGGCCAAAACCUGGGGGCACAGAAGGAGGAGACCAUGCACACAGCAGCAGCACAAGCCCACAAGCCAUCGCAACCUAGACUUUUCCUGGGGUGGGCUGCAAGCAUUUCUGUUCCUGGAACAGCUGCUCACCAAUGUCCGUCUGCACGAGUGUCAUCUGGGACUUUAUUUAACUGCAGAUGCCAGGUGUCCUGCCCUAGAUUCUGACUGGGUUGGAGCCCAGGGAUCUGCAUUUUCACAAGCACCUCAAGGGACUCUGAUGCAGAUGGCCUGAGGACCACACUUUGGGAGACACUGCCCUUACUCACUUGAGUGGUUUGAAUUGGGGUCCAGAGAGUCUCCACUCAAACUGUGGUCCAUAGACCAGCAGCAAAACAAGUACCUGUGGUCUUAUAUCAGUUUUGAAAUCUGCUUCUGGAGUUGAUUGUACCCUUGGGAUUUCACUCUUGGGCCAAGCAGCUUAUGGACAUGUGCUUCCACAUGCAUAACUGUGCUUUCCCUAAGAGAGCUUCUGGCAAAUAACAUCUCUUCCACUUGUGGCAAUAAGAGGGCCAGUUCUUGUGAAGCCUGAAGGCAGGAUAGGAUGAACUGAAAUAAAUCCUCGUUUAUUUCUCAGACUAAAAUGAAGAAUCACUAACCAAGUCUAAUUCCUCCUCUCCACCUCCCUCCCCACACCUUAAACAUGGAGUCUCUUAUAGGAAGUGGAGGACAGAAGAAGAAAAAGUGGGAGAACAGGCUUCAGUGGGUCCCACGGAAGCCGUGUGUGUGUGGCCUUAAGGGCAGAUCUCACGGGUGGCCAAAUGGACCCCCAUCUCAAGGGCCUCCCUGGGCUCUGUCUGUUGGUGACCAGGGGCCACUUUUGUAAACAUAGUUAUGAUGUCACUCAUAGCCACACCCAAAAUGCACUAGAUUGGGACCUGUGUGUUGGGGAGGGGGGAUCUCGGACCACAAUUCCUCCCUCUUUCAUCUGCGCCCUAUCAGAGACCUGUAAGCGAGCAUGGGGUCUGGAAGGGAGAAUGCCCUCCCCUGCCCCAGCCUUCCUGUGAUGGUGAGCAUGGACCACUGUGCACCACCCUGGCAGGCACGUGGCCAGGGACGGGGAAGAGUGUGGUAGACAAGGUUUAGGGGACCAGGAAUUCUCGGUCCAUGCUUGCCCUUCUAUGAAAUAAUAUGGUGUGUUCUUUUUCUGAUGGGGAACUCUAGGAGCAAGUUUUUGGAAAUGAAUUCAAGGAAAAUAGCUUGACAGAGAAGCAGUUAGCCCUUCCAUUUGGGAUGACUUGCAAAGAAAUAGGCCACCCACCAGUCUGUAUCUAACACAAAUAAUAACCAUUCUUUUUCUUCACGUCAUAAGGACAGCACUAACUUCAGAUGCAAUGACAUCAGAACUUCUGGGAAGCACCUUUCUUUUUCAGGAUUGAAUAUUUGCUUCUCUCUGUGAGGAAUUCUGAAAUGCGCUGGAGACACACACGCAGAGCAACAAAGCAUGUGAAAAACAAGAUCUUCUAUCAUAUCGGGCAAAGCUUCCACUCUCAUUGUGGAUCAGAAUGGACACAAUCCUUCCCUGACACUAAACAUAACCCACCUCAGUGCAUUAAAGGAUGGUUCAAAACCAGGGUGUUGACGGCCCUGACCACCCCCCUGCCAUGUGCCGAUUGGGACCUUGACUCAGAUGAUUCCUGGAUCAAGAGACAUCUGAUCUUCACUUUCCCCAAGGGUGGGCCAGAAGGGAGCUCAUUUUGUAUCCAUCGAGGAGGAGUAAACUCUUGCCACCCAGCUGCAACGCCCAGAGAUUCAGGACAGGAGGGUAGAUGGUUCCCGAGUGCCCUGGACCUGGAAAGGCCACGCUUCUGCAGCCUGCUUCCCAGAGCGGGCCCCGCUGGAGGACACCACCCAGGACCUUGGGACACUGGAGGCAGCGAGGCCCAUGGCAGGCGGCGGCUGGGCACAGGGGCUGCAGGAGCUGGAGGAGAGGAACUUCUCAGGAGGGCCUGGCCCCUCCAGAUCCCAGCAGGGUCCACCCUCUGCCCGGCAUGGGGCUCCACAUGAUUCCAUGAAGGCUGGAGGCUGUGACCAGGGGUUGGCACCCUGCCUCCUGGAAGGGCUCAGGUGAGAGGCCAAGAGUACCUCUGACAGCCUCCUCAUGUGUGCCAGGGCCCAGCCAAUCCCCAGCCCCCUGGUUGUAACUUCAGCCAUUCCCUCCCUCAAGAAAGGUCAUUGCAUAGAGGUAAGAGUGGCAUAGUAGAGGAAUAAUCUGAACUCUUCACACACCCACCCAAUCAUGUAUCUCUUCAGAAGUUCACUAUCAGGGUGAAAGAUUAUAUGCACCUGGCCUACCCAGGACACGCUGACUGCCCAAGUGCACGGGAGACCUGCCCCCUUUCCCUACACCCAGCGACAGGUAAAAAGGUGGGCAAGUGCUGGAGGAGUGAGAAUGGGGUAGGAAGGAAAGAGGAGAAGCUGAGAGGAGGAAGGGGAGAGGCACAGGGAGCAAGACAACACAAAUCCAAGCCUGAGUUUCGCCUCAAGCAGGGCUCAGAAAUGUGUGUCUGCAGAAUUGGGACGAGUCACGUGGGGACUAAGCAACAGGAUGAAGCAUCAGUCACAACCUCCCUGGGCAUUGCCUGGUGAUGUGUAACAGACCUCUGCCAGGGUGCUGGCAUUCCCAUGGUGGAGGGAGGCAGAGGGGGCUGGGGAGGGCCGCCAACCCCAGACACCCGGGAGUGCUGACAAGCCUCUGCACCCCACUGGGGGUUUAAGUGUCCACUUGUGCAUAAUGAGGCGUUGGUCUCAGUGCUCUCUGGGACCAUUCCAGCUUGAAGAGUCUGUGAUGCUGAGUCUGAGAAAUUGAAUAUUGAUUGAUGAUUCACACUCAAGGCCUAGAGGUAAUUGGAGCUAGGUGAUUCCUCAUAAUGAAUCAAAGUAUCAAGUAGGUAAAACAGAAUUGUUUACCCUCAGAGUUCAGCCUCAGGCAACAUCGCUAAAGGGAGAUAUUUUUUAAAGAAAUCUGUCUGCAAAACCAAGUCAGAUCAGGAGAUGAGGAAGUGGUGGCCUCUUCAGAGGGAGAGCGGCAUGAUAGGAUGAAGGCUGUGAGGAGGGCACCCCCAAACCUCAUCUUGCCAAUGCCUGGCACACACUGAUGCCCAAUAAAUGUCUAUUGAAUUAAAUUGACAUAAAUAAAACAUCCCUAAAGUACUGUGUUUGUCAGAGAUUGCUAGUUAGCCCCCCAAACCAGUCUCCUUUUUUAUAUCUCUAUAGAGCUCCCACAUUUUAGUUGAGCACAGGGCCACUCAGUAUAAAAAUUACUUUUCUGAGUCACCCUUGAAGCAACAUAUUUUGACCAAGUUUGGACCAAUGAUAUGUUAAUAGCAGUAUCACAUGAAAGCUUCCAGGAGCUUUCCAUAAAAGACAGCUAGUCAUGUCCUUUGUCUUCCUCCUUCCUGCUAGCUGGAAUAUGUAUGUGUGAUGACUGGACCUGAGCAGCCAUAUUGGACCAGGAAGUGAUUGUGUGACUUGAGGCCAUGCACAGCAAGAUAGAUAGUCCUGGGUGUCUGAGGACUUUGCGGAGUAGAGCCACAACACCAGUCCUGAAUUGUCUGUCCUCAGACUUUUAUGAGAAAGAGAAAUAUAUUUCUAUCUUGUGUAAGUCACUGAUAUUUUGUGUCUUUUACUCACAAAUGACCCUAAUCCAUGCCUCUGGGUGCCAAGAAGUCCUCAGUACUGUUUGCUGAAUGAAUAAAUGCCACAGCAGUAAUGUUUAUUAUUGAAAAAUAAUAAAAAUGAGGAAAUAUAGACAAAAUAUUUUCCUGUAAAGAUAAAAGAGAGUUUGAGACUCAUGCUCUAUCCUGCCUAGAGCUAAUAAUCAAUAACUAGGUAUAAGCCGGAGUGAAACAACUGUUUCUCCACUAAAUACCAAAGUGCCUCACACCGAGCUCCCCACAGCCCGUGAGCUGAGCCAGGCAAAAAGGAAACAAUGUUUUUCUUUUUUAAAAUUUUUAUUUAUCUUAUUUUAUAUUUUUGCGGUUUUAUUGAGCUAUAAUUGACAUACAACACUGUAUAACUGGAACGUGUACAGCAUAAUGAUCUGACUUACAUGUAUUGUGAAAUGAUUACCACAGGUUUAAUUAACGACCACCAUCUCAUAUAGAUACCAAAAAAAAAGAAAACAAUGUCUUUCUCCUUGUGAUGGGGUCUCUGAAGAUCUUCUCUCUUAACGACUUUCAAACAUACCAUGCAGCAGCGUUACCUCUGUUAACAUCAUGUUGUACAUUGAUUGCAUCCCCAGUACUUAAUUUUCUUGUAAUUGGAAGUUUGCACAUUUUGACUACUUUCUUCCAAAGUAUUUUCUAUAAUCAUGUUUUGCUUUUGUCGUGAGCCCAUAUCUUCUCCCAAGAGCAGAAAUAAUCUUGUUGUUUCCAAAUAAACUCUGUUAAUGACUAUGAAGUCAUUUCAGGACUUAAGUUCUGAUGUUUCUCCCUGCUCUGCCCUGGGGGUGCAUCAAGGCUCUGGGGGACUCGGGAGUGCCACACUUGUGGGGAGGAAGUAUGGGCCUCAGUCCAUCUCUGUCCACGUGGCCCCUCUGUGCGGUCCUCAUUGCCAUGCCUCUGCACCCUCCACGGCUUUUCCAUAGCCCUGGACACCAGGUCCACCACUCUACGAGUAGCUAUGUCCUCCUCACCAAAACCAUGAGGCUCUUCCAGGCACCCCCCACCCCCCACCCUCUCAGCAGUUUUAAGAUCUCCUGGGGUCUUAGGACUUUUCCCUGAUCUAUCCAUUUCCCUGAUCCAUCCAUCCAUCUUCCCAAGAUCCAUCUUGAGCACCAUAGCCUUGGCCACCCAGGACCCCCUUAGGUGCUGCUCCGAGCUCUGGCCUGUGUGGGCCACACCCCAGUGCAGGGCUCCGAUGCUCAGGGGUCCCCCAGCUUAUCAUUCUUGUGGCUCAUUUGGCCUGAGUGUGCCCGACACAGAGUUCCUUCUCAGAGACUCACAGCACCAGUGGCCUUGCUUACUACCUUACCCUCCUCCCUGCAGCCCAGAAAGAAUUUUCCUCCCUUCACUCGAUGGUGAAGAGAAUGGGCUAGGCGAGUAUUCUUCCAACCAGUCGUUCAUGAUGUGGAUCAAGGCUGCCCCAGAGAGAGAAGCCCAAGGUGACCUGGCCUACAUGCCGACCUAUAUGACCCGAUGGAUUCUAUGGUGUGGAUUAGGGCUGCCCCAGGGAGAGAAGCCCACGGCAUCCUCCCCUACAUGCCCAUCUGUAUGACCAGGU